rnacentral:rRNA from 1 species
CCGGCGACCGGCGCACGGGUGAGUAACACGUAUGGAACCUGCCCGCAGCAGGGGGAUAAGCGGAAGAAAUUCCGUCUAAUACCGCGUAACAACGUUGGUAGGCAUCUCCCGAUGUUUAAAGAUUUAUCGGCUGCGGAUGGCCAUGCGGCGCAUUAGCUAGUCGGCGGGGUAACGGCCCACCGAGGCGACGAUGCGUAGGGGUUCUGAGAGGAAGGUCCCCCACACUGGUACUGAGACACGGACCAGACUCCUACGGGAGGCAGCAG